ACGCUGGCGGCGUGCUUAACACAUGCAAGUCGAACGGUAAGGCUCCUUUGGGGGUACACGAGUGGCGAACGGGUGAGUAUCACGUGAGUAACGUGCCCUGGACUCUGGGAUAACUGCCGGAAACGGUGGCUAAUACUGGAUAGGACCUGUCUCCGCAUGGGGGUGGGUGGAAAGCGUUUGAGUGGUUCGGGAUCGGCUCGCGGCCUAUCAGCUUGUUGGUGGGGUAGUGGCUUACCAAGGCUUUGACGGGUAGCCGGCCUGAGAGGGUGAUCGGCCACAUUGGGACUGAGAUACGGCCCAGACUCCUACGGGAGGCAGCAGUGGGGAAUAUUGCACAAUGGACGGAAGUCUGAUGCAGCAACGCCGCGUGUGGGAUGACGGCUUUCGGGUUGUAAACCACUUUCGGCAGGGACGAAGCGUGAGUGACGGUACCUGUAGAAGAAGCACCGGCCAACUACGUGCCAGCAGCCGCGGUGAUACGUAGGGUGCGAGCGUUGUCCGGAAUUAUUGGGCGUAAAGAGCUUGUAGGCGGUUGAUCGCGUCGGGAGUGAAAACCUAUGGCUUAACUGUGGGCGUGCUUUCGAUACGGGUUGACUUGAGGGGCGUAGGGGAGAAUGGAAUUCCUGGUGGAGCGGUGGAAUGCGCAGAUAUCAGGAGGAACACCGGUGGCGAAGGCGGUUCUCUGGACGUUUCCUGACGCUGAGAAGCGAAAGCGUGGGGAGCAAACAGGCUUAGAUACCCUGGUAGUCCACGCUGUAAACGGUGGGUACUAGGUGUGGGGACCAUUCCACGGUUUCCGUGCCGUAGCUAACGCAUUAAGUACCCCGCCUGGGGAGUACGGCCGCAAGGCUAAAACUCAAAGGAAUUGACGGGGCCCCGCACAAGCGGCGGAGCAUGCGGAUUAAUUCGAUGCAACGCGAAGAACCUUACCUGGGUUUGACAUACACCGGAAGCGCGCAGAGAUGUGUGUGCCUGUUUGGCUGGUGUACAGGUGGUGCAUGGCUGUCGUAAACACGUGUCGUGAGAUGUUGGGUUAAGUCCCGCAACGAGCGCAACCCUUGUCCAAUGUUGCCAGCACGUGGUGGUGGGGAUUCAUUGGAGACCGCCGGGCCCAACUCGGAGGAAGGUGGGUAUGAGGUCAAGUUAUCAUGCCCCUUAUGUCCAGGGCUUCUCGCACGGUACAAUGGUUGGUACAAACCGUUGCCACUCUGUGAGGUGGAGCGAAUCGGAGAAAGCCGGUCUCAGUUCGGAUUGGGGUCUCUUUCUCGACCCCACCAAGUCGGAGUCGCUAGUAAUCGCAGAUCAGCACCGUUUCGGUCAAUUCGUUCCCGGUCCUUGGACACUCCCCCCGUCAAGUCAUGAAAGUUGGUCACACCUG
rnacentral:rRNA from 1 species